UACGUAGGGUCCGAGCGUUGUCCGGAAUUAUUGGGCGUAAAGAGCUCGUAGGCGGUUUGUCGCGUCUGCUGUGAAAUCCCGAGGCUCAACCUCGGGCCUGCAGUGGGUACGGGCAGACUGGAGUGCGGUAGGGGAGAAUGGAAUUCCUGGUGUAGCGGUGGAAUGCGCAGAUAUCAGGAGGAACACCGAUGGCGAAGGCAGUUCUCUGGCCGUAACUGACGCUGAGGAGCGAAAGCGUGGGAGCGAACA
rnacentral:rRNA from 1 species